rnacentral:rRNA from 1 species
AGUGAACGCUGGCGGUAGGCCUAACACAUGCAAGUCGAACGGCAGCACAGUAAGAGCUUGCUCUUACGGGUGGCGAGUGGCGGACGGGUGAGGAAUACAUCGGAAUCUACUUUUUCGUGGGGGAUAACGUAGGGAAACUUACGCUAAUACCGCAUACGACCUACGGGUGAAAGCAGGGGAUCUUCGGACCUUGCGCGAUUGAAUGAGCCGAUGUCGGAUUAGCUAGUUGGCGGGGUAAAGGCCCACCAAGGCGACGAUCCGUAGCUGGUCUGAGAGGAUGAUCAGGCACACUGGAACUGAGACACGGUCCAGACUCCUAAGGGAGGCAGCAGUGGGGAAUAUUGGAAAAUGGGCGAAAGCCUGAUCCAGCCAUAACGCGUGGGUGAAGAAGGCCUUCGGGUUGUAAAGCCCUUUUGUUGGGAAAGAAAAGCAGCAGGUUAAUACCCCGCUGUUCUGACGGUACCCAAAGAAUAAGCACCGGCUAACUUCGUG